rnacentral:lncRNA from 1 species
UUAAAUCAUGGUUUCCUGCUUGUCUGCUCCCCAGACUAAACUGAAGAAGUCAAAUGGCAGAAAACACAUUUUUUAAAGAAAAAAAAUAGUCUGGAUGAAGGAUGAGAGUGACCCAGAGUGACUGAAUUGGCAGCCCCAAGCCUAAGGCACAGUGACAAGACCUGGAUCAUCUGAACCUUCCCUUUACUCCCAGACUACAUGAGCCUUUGUGAAGGCAUACAUAUCUCUCUCCUUCCCUGUUUCGGUCACUUCUUUUCUUCAUCUUUCUCUCCUCGGGUCCUCCACCACAAACUAGAAGUCCACUCUUUUCCCUGUUUUUAGAAGUCAGUUCCUGGUUCCCUAUUCCUCGAGAAUAUGCUAAUACAUACCUCUUGUACCCCUUGACUUUUUCACAGGUUGUUUUAAGGGUUUCUUCUGCUGGUGUUUUUUCUUCUCUUUAUGUUUCAUGGUUCAACUCUUCGCAGAAUUGCUGAUAUCAACCCAGCCCGGAGCUCCAGUCGGGAGGGAGAUCGCGGUUUGCGUCGGAUGGGUUUGAGGUUUCUCUGCUCAAUCAGAGUCCCCGGCUGUGCGCAGCCCGCCCUGCUGCACGGAGGCUCAGGACACACGCGCGCACCCGGCCUUCACCCGGACCGAGACCCCAGCCAGCGCGGCGUCAGCGAGGGGACACCGCUCCCCGCGCUGCCCGACCGCGCCCGGCCCGGGCAGCUGCUCCUAGGCUCCACAAGGACCGCCCCUCCCGCCCUGCCCCCAGGCGUAGCCUCGGAGUGGCGGUGGUGAGGACAACAGGACCUGUGGAGGGCCUCUGGGCGCCCCAAUUCAGGUCCCGCGCAUGCAUGCCUCAAACCCCAGGCAGAGUCGUCAUCCUUGCGGCUCGGG